UUCUUAUUGUGAGAAGUUGAGGGACUUGGCCCUGUGAUACUUCAGCAACCGACUUUAUAGCACGGUGCUAAAACCAACGAGUUACUCGAAUGAUAAGUA
rnacentral:ncRNA from 21 species